GGGGGGGUUCUGUUAUGGUGAACCUGCGGAGGGAUCAUUACACAAAUAUGAAGGCGGGCUGGAAUCUCUCGGGGUUACAGCCUUGCUGAAUUAUUCACCCUUGUCUUUUGCGUACUUCUUGUUUCCUUGGUGGGUUCGCCCACCACUAGGACAAACAUAAACCUUUUGUAAUUGCAAUCAGCGUCAGUAACAAAUUAAUAAUUACAACUUUCAACAACGGAUCUCUUGGUUCUGGCAUCGAUGAAGAACGCAGCGAAAUGCGAUAAGUAGUGUGAAUUGCAGAAUUCAGUGAAUCAUCGAAUCUUUGAACGCACAUUGCGCCCUUUGGUAUUCCAAAGGGCAUGCCUGUUCGAGCGUCAUUUGUACCCUCAAGCUUUGCUUGGUGUUGGGCGUCUUGUCUCUAGCUUUGCUGGAGACUCGCCUUAAAGUAAUUGGCAGCCGGCCUACUGGUUUCGGAGCGCAGCACAAGUCGCACUCUCUAUCAGCAAAGGUCUAGCAUCCAUUAAGCCUUUUUUCAACUUUUGACCUCGGAUCAGGUAGGGAUACCCGCUGAACUUAAGCAUAUCAAUAAGACGGAGGACUCCUCUUAGUGAACCUGCGGGCCG
rnacentral:rRNA from 1 species